CUCCUUUAGAGCCCAGCCCAUGGAAAUCCAUGGGCCCAUCUCUACCAUUACCAUUUUGAGCUUCCAUUCCAAAUCCACAGCAUUUCAUCAAGCUAAUCAGGAGAGCAUCAUCAAUGGCGAAACCGCUGGGACACACAGGCGAGUUCUUUAGGAGACGGGACGAGUGGCGGAAGCACCCGAUGAUGAUGAACCAGUGGCGCCACGCCACCCCCGGUCUCGGCAUCGCCCUCGUGGCUUUUGGUAUUUACGUUGUCGGUGAAGCUGCCUACAACAAGAUCUACGCACCCAAAUCGCACUCACACACUCACUCUCACUCCAAUUCUGCUUCUGCUUCUUCUGAUUCUUCUACUUCUGCUAUUCAUUAGAAUCCCCCCUCUAUCUACAAGGUAAGAAUCAAUCUUUUUGACGCGGAUAUGCGUAUAGAACGUAGUGGAUUUCUGAUUCUUUGGUGUGGCCAAUAUUUUGGUAAUUCGGAAUUUUGGAUUUAUAUUGGGGUUUGCGUUUCUCAAAUUUAAGAUAUGGGUAUAUCUUAAUUAAAAUACUUGUUUGUGUUAGUCUGUAUCAAUUGGGGACGUCUCAUUUUCUGAAAUUUAGGAUUCUUGAAAAUAUGAACAUGUCCUAUCAACAAGAUAAGCUUACUUAUUGCAAAAAUUGGAAUUUUGGAUGUAUAUUGCCAUUGGCUUAUUUUUCAAUUUUAAGAUAUGGGUCUUCUGUUAAUAUACAUAUUUGUUUUAGACUUUUAGUUUGCGUCAAUUAGGCAUUUCUCAUUUUCUGAAAUUUAGGGUUUUUGAGAAUAUGAACGCAAUCAGACUAUUUUUAAGAAAUGACAUGCCUUGUAUUUAUUUAUGCAUAUUCAAGAUGAGUGGACGGAUGUACAGGCUUUUAACUUCUGUUGGUUGCUAUGAGUAGACGGAUGUACAUAUUCAUUUGUACUCACACAAGCACAAACCUUUUUACGUCUCCAUUUCCCGAAAUCAGGUCGCUGCCUAUAUAAAUCUGUAUAGCUAUUUUAUUGAGAAAAUUGUGUUAACUUGCAGCACAUUGCUAGUAGUUCCAGGUAUAAUUUUCCAUACGAGAGUGCAUAUGCUUCUUAUUCAUGUGAAGGUUUAGAAUGUGUAAUCAAGUUUUAAUUGAUUGAUUAGUAUACGAGUCUUUUGUGGAAUGAAACAAGGGGUUUAGAAUUUUAACUAAUGAAACAUCUGUUUGAAUUCAGCAAAAAAAUUUGCUAGUUUCAAUGUUGUGUGUCCAAUGUUGUGCCCAUAAACAUAGUGUGAGGGUAGUAGCUAAGAUAUUGUCAUGAUUAUGAACACAAAUAGCUAAUUGACAUUUGUAUCACGUCUGCACUUGCUGUGAUUCUCAGUUCAUGAAUAAGACUGUUGUUCUUGCAUCAAUAUUUAAAGCAGACCUAUGAACCAUGAGGCCUUGCCAAAGUGGAACGUUCCUGGCAUGCACAAGAACUGACUUCUCUGCACCAAUGUUUAUAGAAAAUAGACCUUUACUCCUUGCUCUUCAUUACAUUGGUUGGGGUGCUAGUGAAAUCGCGAGAAUAUUUUGAUGUUUUCUAUAUUUUCAAGCGAAGAAGUUACCCACUGUAGAAUUUUUUUUUUUUUAAAAUGCACAAAACAAUCUUUCAAUUACACUACUUUCUAAGGUUUGGGCCCACGAUCAGUAUUAGAAACUUGUUUUAAACAUUCACAAAGGAAUCUUUUUUGCAGUCCUUUAUAAACAAUGUUUCCAGACAGGACGUAAACAUUCUUAGUGUUGUUCUGUUCUUAUGAGUUCUUUGUGGAGGAUUUUCAAUUUUCUAGUUUGGGUGUAGAUUCAGCUAGUUUUACCUUUGGUGAAACUUUGCACAAAAUUUUGAUUAUGAACAGAGUGGGUGGGGCAUGGAAAUCUAUUAGAAACAGCUCUAGCUUGAUUAUAAGAUGCAAGAGGGAUGGUUGCGAUACAUUGGUUCUGCGGAGAGGAAUAGAGUCCAUGAUGGGGUUAAAAUAUAGGGUAAAGUAUGUGAAGAAAGGUCGCGGUUGAUAAAUAGAGGUUUAUGUUUUGGGACAUAAGCAGCAUGUUUUACUUAAUUUUUCAUUGAUAUGUUACUUUGUUGAGAUUCUGAAAAUUUAUUCAGUUAGAUUAACUUUUUACUCUCUUGAUUAUGCAGAUGAAUACCCAGUGCCAAGGAUUAGGCACGAUCAUGUUUCUCACUCUUCUCUGUUUCUCUAUCAGUGUUUAAUAAGUCCUAAGAGACUCGUCUUUUGCCUUCAAUGAGCAGAACUCUGAAUCUGUAACUAACUGAGAAUAGUUGUGUAAUGAAUGGUCUGUAUCUUUUACCCUUAUCUCAUUGUGGUUGUUUUUCUUGUGUUACACUGAUUAUGGUGCCUGUGGUUUAUCAAUUGAGUUGUUCUGUUAAAAAGCAUGAUGUUUUUUGAGUUCUGGCUAUUUAUGUCUGUUUGAACAACUUUGUGAAUUGGAGUUUUUGUAAUGCCAUAUGUCUAAAGAACCAAGCCGCAUGUCUUGAAUUGGGAAUGUCAAACCGUCCUGUUGCUGGGGA
rnacentral:lncRNA from 1 species